CACACCCGGUCUCAUUCCGAACCCGGUCGUUAAGUCUCCUUGCGCUGAUGGUACUGCCCUGUGGUGGGGUGGGAGAGUAGGUUGCUGCCACGG
rnacentral:rRNA from 1 species